rnacentral:lncRNA from 1 species
CAGGGUUGCAAUGGGAGACACCUACUCUCCUCUAAGACCCCGUGCAGGCUGUGCUAUUGAUAAUUGUCAUUGGACACCUCGUGGCUGAGCAGCUGAAGCAUACCACGCAACAGCACACAUUUCAGUGAGUGGACAGAGCAAUGGCAAACUCCAAGAUAAAUCAGAAAGUCAGCAAUGGCUUGUGGAGUGCAAUUACAAAGGAAAAAAGACUGCCGAUUACCACUGAAAUGGAGUGAAGUUUCUGGAAAGGAUUGCUGGGCUCCUGGUCUGUGUCAGCAUGGUCGGUAAAACAUCGCACGGAGCUCAACACACCCACUGUCGGAACUAAUUGGCAUUUAAUAAGAAGACCCCCUGAGAGAAGCUUGCUGAUGUGGGCAUUUCUGCAACAUAUCUGUGCAGGGGUGGGGCCCUUUUGCAAAAAUUCUUUAGGAGGGAGGGAAGCAUCAAAUGAGUCAGAUCUGUAUUCAUGGGGCUACCCCCUGGGACAUAACUUGACUCAUCCACAAAUACUGACAUUCCUUUGG